rnacentral:sRNA from 1 species
GGUUUUUAAAGAUACAAAUAUUUUCUUAGAUUGUAAAACUCUCCCCAUAAACAUGCCAAAAUUAGGAAGCCCUUGCCCAGCCUAUCCAGCAAUAAAAUCAAGCCAUUUGGUUACCUCCUAAAGUGAGAAGGUUGUUAUUUCUCCCAAUUAACUAGUUUUAUAUCCUAGUUGUUAGCAAGAAUCCUGAGGCGACUUCCUUGAUUUUGGAGUCCCGAGAAAACUGGGAUGCCCGUGAGAUAAGAGUCCUGAGAGAGAAGCAUAACGUAGAUUGGGGACCUGCACAGCAUGGGGGUGCUGUUUACCUGGAGAGAAGUCAACUUCUGAUCCCAUUCCUGGGUCCCCACUCCUGCUGGCCUCACUCAAAUUUCAUUCCAGCCCAGCCUGAUGGAAUCUAUGAAAUUUCAAACUUUACAAAAACAAUGCAAAGAACAGCCACAUAACCUUUACUCAAACUCACGUAUCCUUAACAUUUGCUCAGUUUCCUUUACUAUUUGUGCUCAUGCUUGGUCUCUCUCUCUCUCCCCGUACUCAUUUUCUUUUUACACACACACACACACACACACACACACACAACUUGAGGGUAAAUUAUAUGCAUCUUGGCCCUUUAUCCUCAAUUCUUUAGUGUGUGUUCUCCUAGGAAUGGAGAUACUCUCUGCUGUGUCCGCAGUACAGUUGUCAGCUCCCUGAAUUUACAUUGCUGCAAUUCCUUAGCUUAUGCACAUCUUCCAGUAUUUGUCACUGGACGACCCCAUGAUGUCCUUCAGAGCAGUGACCUUUCCACUCGGGCACAGGGCCGGACAUUGCCUGACUGUCUUAUUGCUUUAGCAUCCUCUGUCCUGCAGCGUUUCCACAGCCUUUCUUUGUCUUUUAUGGCAUCGACAUUUUUAAAACGUUCUGAAACGUGAGCACUUUCCAGUGGGCUGGAUGCACGUGAGGAGCGUGUUCCGGCUGCUGGGCGUGUGGGCCUUUCCGUUCUCACGGAACCCCGAGAAGCAUCAGCGGCACCCCUUGCCUGUCUCCUGUCUUUUCAGGUCUGCUGGCGACGGCGACAGUUCCUCUGGAUUUAUUUAAGAAGCAGCCUUCUGGGCCACAGAGCUUCACGCUGACCAGCGGGUCUGCCUGCGGCAGCUCGGUGCUGGGCUCGGUCACGGCAGAGUUCUCUUACAUAGAACCUGGUGAAUUGAAAUCCUGGCCCAUCCCUCCCCCUGUUCCUGCUGCAAAAAUAGAAAAGGACCGCACGGUGAUGCCCUGUGGGACUGUGGUCACUACUAUCACUGCUGUGAAGACCAAGCCUCGCGUCGACAUGGGGAGGGCGUCCCCGCUGAGCUCCGAUUCUCCGGUGAGGACUCCCAUCAAGGUGAAGGUGAUCGAGAAGGACAUCUCUGUCCAGGCCAUCGCCUGCCGCAGCGCCCCCGUCAGCAAAACACUCUCUUCUUCAGACACAGAAUUGUUGGUGUUGAAUGGUUCGGAUCCAGUGGCUGAAGUUGCCAUUCGACAGCUCAGUGAAUCUUCAAAGCUGAAACUCAAGUCGCCACGGAAGAAAAGCACUAUUAUCAUAUCAGGGAUCUCCAAGACCUCACUAUCUCAGGACCACGACGCUGCCCUGAUGCAGGGCUACACAGCCUCUGUGGACAGCACCCACCAGGAGGACGCCCCAUCCCAUCCGGAGAGGGCCGCGGCCUCUGCCCUGCCAGAGGAACCCGAGUCAGCCCAGGCAUCCCUUGCCCCCAAGCCCCAGGAGGACGAGCUAGACUCCUGGGACUUGGAGAAGGAGCCACAGGCCGUGGCAUGGAGCAGCCAGGUCCUGCUGGACCCCGACGGUGAUGAGCUGUCAGAGAGUUCCGUGAGUGUCUCGGAGCCGGGCGCUGCCAAAAAGCAUAAAGGAGGAAUUCUAAGGAAAGGCGCAAAGCUGUUCUUCCGCCGGCGGCAUCAACAGAAAGACCCGGGCAUGAGUCAGUCACACAAUGACCUUGUGUUCCUGGAGCAGCCAGAGGGUUCCCGGAGGAAAGGCAUCACCCUCACCAGGAUCUUGAACAAGAAGCUGCUCUCCAGGCACAGAAACAAGAACACCAUGAACAGUGCCCCCGUGGAGCCCUGCACGUAGGGCCUGAGGUCAUCACCUCCAAGCCAUAAGACGUGCACCUGCGUUAACUACCCUCACCAGGACGCAGCCAGUGUGUCCGCCAGAUGUCCAGAUGCCCCGCUUGUCUUGCUGGGUUUCUUCCAACCAUCUCGUCAUUUAAAGGGAAAACAAAAUCUGAGUCUCCAGCCAGGAGGCUUCUCCCAGAGGGGACGAAAAAGCCCAACUUGCCACCAGAUGCCAAAUGAGACUUGACAGCCACAGAGCUUGGGCUGUGCUCAAGGCUAAGGGUUAGGGUUCAAUAUUAGAAGGAGAUUAACAUUAUAAGUGAAAUAAUAUGCUCUAAUAGAUUGUGGAGGGCAGGUUUGAGGGACUCAGUUUACCUAUUCUACACUAACAAGUGUUGUUUUGGGUCCAUGCCUGGACCAUGUCACAAAAAGGAGGUGCCUCCCUGUGCUGUCACUGUGAAUGGAAAGGAUGGGUCACCUCUCUUCAUCUGCUGCUUGGAAUAAAAAAUGCAGCUGGCCCUGAGUACAGGGAAGUGGAACAUAGGCAGGAUUUUGGAUAAAUAGAGAAAUUUUGAUAGGAAUGGAGACGCUACGACAGACGUAGGAAGUCAUCUACCUUUGAUAUUAGCCAUAGAACUUGAACACUAACUAUAUCCUAUGCAUAGUAUGCAGAACACUUUUCUAAGUUUACUUUGAGCCUACUUGCAAGUGGAAGAUAUAUAUAUUCUCACAUGGUUUUUACAUUUUUCUCUAUCGUGUUAAAAGCUCUAAUAAUGCUAGUGGAGCAGUUGACAUCCAGGUUUUUUUUUUCCUGCCUGUCAUAGUUGCUAAACAAGAGCACAGCAGGCCUGUCAGAUGAAGUCAGGAGCCAUACGUGACUGCUCGUAGAACACAGUAACCAAACACAUACAUGGAUUUUGCCAAAUGCUGCCAGUAGCCAAAACAAAGUCCUUUUAGGGCAAUAGAGGAAAUUAUUUUGUGUCUCACGUGUCAGUCUUAGGAAUGGAAGUUUAAUAACAAAUGGGCCAAACUUGCAGGACAUUCCUUCUAUGAGUGCUUCAGAAUUUUGCUGUGAACAGUCCUCUUGGACACAGGUUGGGGUGCCCUUGUUUGGGUUUGUUUUGGUGGAAAACGUGAUAAACCUGGCACACCAUUUGAAUAUCCCUAAGUAUCAUUCCAGUUGCUUUCCUCGUCAGUUGCCUUUUUCUAUUUCAGUUCAUCCACAGAUUUCACUUUGGUCUGCUCCUUCUGAAUGUGCCACUGCCAGUAGACAUGCUGGUCAAAGAGCAGUCAUCAUUGGGGUGAAGUGUUUUUGACAGUUUAAUAUGAUUCACUUUUCUCCAAAGACAUGUAAAAGGCUGUUAGGAAAGCUUGACUUCUGUCAUGAAGAUGGAAAUGGGCAAGCUUCCUUCCGUAGCCUCUUUUGUUAAUCCUUAAACAUUCAGUAUUUCAGGGGUAAUAAAGCCACUGGUGAGUAAAAACCUAUAUAAAAACCAAAAUUAUAGGAUUUUUUUCUUUUUUAGUAAAAACCUGUAUAAAAACCAAAAUUAUCAGAUUUUUUCUUUUUUAGUAAAAACCUAUAUAAAAACCAAAAUUAUAGGAUUUUUUUCUUUUUUAGUAAAAACCUGUAUAAAAACCAAAAUUAUAGGAUAUUUUUUCUUCUUUUUUAGAGGGAGAGAUUAGAAAACAUUAGGAAUUUCACUUUAAAAUUUGCAUUGCAGACUUCUUAGGUGUUCCAGGAAUUAUUAAAAUGACUUUUUCGACCUGCUUUGUUUUUAAAAAUUAUAUUCCAGUUUUAAUCAUUGUAAAAAAAGCACCUGGAGUUUCAAAAUAUGUGAAUACAACCAAGUUUCUGUCCCUAAAGUCAGGCAUCACUGCUAGUCUUUUGGGACAGAUGGGACAGAUGUUCACUUUAAUGUUUUACUUGAAGUUUUACUGCUCUUGGCCAUGUGGUUAAAAAAAGCCUGAGACAUAUUUAAGAAUUCCAAGAGGAUAUUAUGUGUCAGAAUUUCAGACACUGAUGAGAAGUUUUUAAUUCUUUUUUGAUUUUGGAAUUCAGGUGCACUCUAUUCAAGUGCAAGGAUAUCAGAAGUUUUUUUUUAUUUAAAAAAAUUUUUUUUUGAGACGGAGUUUAACUCUGUUGCCCAGGCUGGAGUGCAAUGGCAGCUUACUGCAACCUCUGCCUCCUGGGUUCAAGCGAUUCUCCUGCCUCAGCCUCCCAAGUAGCUGGGAUUACAGGUGCGCACCACCACACCUGGCUAAUUUAUUUGUAUUUAGUAGAAAUGGAAUUUCACCAUGUUGGUCAGGCUGGUCUCAAACUCCUGACCUCAGGUGAUCCACCCACCUCGGCCUCCCAGCGUGCUGGGAUUACAGGCAUGAACCACCAGGCCGGCCCCAGAAUUUUAUAUUAAGCCUUCUUGCUCUC